CCUACGGGAGGCAGCAGUGGGGAAUAUUGCACAAUGGGCGCAAGCCUGAUCCAGCCACGCCGCGUGAGUGAAGAAGGCCUUAGGGUUGUAAAGCUCUUUCACCCGUGACGAUGAUGACGGUAGCGGGAGAAGAAGCCCCGGCUAACUCCGUGCCACCAGCCGCGGUAAU
rnacentral:rRNA from 1 species